CCUACAAAAAUGAUUAGUUCAAGCAUGAAAUUCUGAUGACAUUAAGUCACUCAAAAAAGCAUGACAAGGACACAACAAACACCCACACAUCAAUCAUAGUCAUUUAUCACAACAAACGCGUAAAAGUUUAAGAUGAGGUUAAGAACUAGCAGUUAACUAGUUAAUAUAUCUCAAAUGAGAUAAUAUUCAGCUUUUACAAGUUAUGAUCUCAGGCCAUCCAAUUAACUCAAAAUCAGCAACUUCCUACAGUGAUCAACAAACUAAACCUCUUGUUGUUGCCAGUGCAGCAAUGCUACAGUUCAUGCACUACAGUGGUUCACAGGGUUCUCAUGCCCAGCACACAUUCACAGUAGGUACAGCAUCGCAACUAUUUCAUAUGUCAAGUAAACUCAGAUCUUAGAUAAAACAAGGAGGGAGUCAAUAGAUGCACGAUAUGGGGUUAAAGUACUAGAAUGCAGAGUAGUAGGCCACAGAUUAAAGAGAGGAAUUUCAUGAGGAAAAGGCUACUCAUAAGUACAACGCAGUCAUGACUUGACUUGACAAUCCAAUCUUCACUAUUUUGCAAUGCAUGUGAUGGCUCUUUUCAAGACAUGCUUCUGCAAUUGUAACAGAAGUAAAGUUCUGAUUUCAUACUGCAAUAAAACGUAAGUUUUUUGCUCAAAAAACUGGAUCAAAUUUUAAGUCUUACAUGCAUGUCGUGUAAGCAUUGUCAAAUUAUAUCGGAUGCUUUUUUUAACAUUUUGAAUGGCAAACUCAGGACCUAGGGAGCGCACCUAAAUUAACAUCACGGGACGUGUUUGGUUCCCUGGGUAGCUUUAGGCUGCAUGGCAUGGGGGAUGCUGGGUUUUUCAGAAUGUAGCUGAAAUCAGGAAGGAACGUGGAUCAUGGCGACGGGAUCUGGGGCUCGAUGACUCCAGAUGGCCUGACGGUGGAUCCUCGCUUGUGACGGCACGAGGCGGCAGGAUCCGGCGUGCAGCGCUUGGACGAGGGCGAACGAGGCCGGUGGCAGCGCUUGAUGAGGCCGGCAGCGACGCUUGGACGUGGGCGAAGGAGGGCGGCGGAGCUUUACGAGGGCGCGGCGGCGGAGCUUGACAAGGGCGCGGCGGCGGAGCUUGACGAGGGCACGGCGGCGGCGGCGCUUGGUUCGAAGAGACCGAAGAGGGGAGAAGAAAACCAAAGGAACGAGCCUGUACACGAGCUACGCUCGAUCCCUGCGUUUCCCUCAGCCUGGCUGAGAGGCCCCUUUUUGCAUCCAUCGGGCCAGGCUGAAGAGCCCAUACAGGGUACCAAACCAAAAUUUGCAUGGUGUAUGUGAACCACAUGCAACGCAGCUAACCAAACACCCCUGCAAGUAUGCUGCCAGCAGACGACAUCAAAGAAAAAAGGUAUGGACUAUCCAGUAAAUGCCAGAAAAAAAGGACUAUCAGAACUACACAAAGGUCCCCCAAUAUGGUCAGUCUUACGGUUCUUAAUCCAGACAGCAUGUGCUGACUAACGAGUGACAAAUUUUUUGAUUAAAUGAUUUGGCAAAA